AUUGAACGCUGGCGGCAUGCCUUACACAUGCAAGUCGAACGGUAACAGGUCUUCGGAUGCUGACGAGUGGCGAACGGGUGAGUAAUAUAUCGGAACGUGCCCAGUCGUGGGGGAUAACGCAGCGAAAGCUGUGCUAAUACCGCAUACGAUCUAUGGAUGAAAGCGGGGGAUCGCAAGACCUCGCGCGAUUGGAGCGGCCGAUAUCAGAUUAGGUAGUUGGUGGGGUAAAGGCCCACCAAGCCAACGAUCUGUAGCUGGUCUGAGAGGACGACCAGCCACACUGGAACUGAGACACGGUCCAGACUCCUACGGGAGGCAGCAGUGGGGAAUUUUGGACAAUGGGCGCAAGCCUGAUCCAGCAAUGCCGCGUGCAGGAUGAAGGCCUUCGGUUGUAACUGCUUUGUACGGUAACGAAAGGUACCUAGUUAAUACCUGGGCCCGACUGACGGUACCGUAAGAAUAAGCACCGGCUAACUACGUGCCAGCAGCCG
rnacentral:rRNA from 1 species